GGAGGCGGGGCAUGGAGUUCCACUGCAGGAAUCUCCAGGAACCCUGAGGUCCUCCCUGAGCCAGGGCCGGGCUGGGCACACCCUGAGUGCCCACAGGGCCGGUUACUGCCUCUCUGACCCCAGACGUCUCAUCUGUCGAAUGGGGACAUUUGGGAACAGCACCCACUCUACGAAGCCACCAUGGAGACGAAAGAGCCAAUCGUCUACACGGGCAGUGUAGAACGGGCGCCUGGGCCUAGGGGAUGCCAAAUUCCAGGGUCCAGAAAGAGCUUGGGAUAAAAUGAAACUUCAAGGGGACGGCUUUGACCUGGGCUGAGUCUGUCUGUGCCAUCCAACUGGAGUCUCAAGUCCUGAGGCAGGACGUCCAGAUGCCCCAGUGCAGGGCCCUCCUGAUCAACACCUGCUCCCCUGUACUCAUUAGCAACCUCACCCACCCUACUCUCAAAGCACACUUGGCUCUCGUAUCCAGGAGCUCUGCAUCUAUAGAUUCAGCAACAGCAGAUGGAAAAUAUUCAGAAAAUAAAUUGGAUGGUUAUGUUUCUAUUGAACAUGUGCAGACUUUGUUCUUGUCAUCAUUCCCUAAAGAAUACAGUAUCACGACCAUUUAUGUAGCAUCUGCAUU
rnacentral:lncRNA from 10 species